rnacentral:rRNA from 1 species
ACUCAAAUGAAUUGACGGGGAGCCGCACAAGCGGUGGAGCAUGUGGUUUAAUUCGACGAUACGCGUAGAACCUUACCAAGGCUUGACAUCCUGCGAAUCGGCUGGAAACAGUUGAGUGCCUUCGGGAGCGCAGUGACAGGUGUUGCAUGGCCGUCGUCAGCUCGUGUCGUGAGAUGUUGGGUUAAGUCCCGCAACGAGCGCAACCCUUGCCGUGUGUUGAACUUUUCACACGGGACCGCCCGGGACAACCGGGAGGAAGGUGGGGAUGAUGUCAGGUCAGCAUGGCCCUUACGCCUUGGGCUACACACGUGCUACAAUGGCCGGUACAACGGGUUUGCCAAGCCGCAAGGCGGAGCUAAUCCCAUCAAAACCGGUCUCAGUUCGGAUUGGAGGCUGCAACUCGCCUCCAUGAAGUUGGAAUCGCUAGUAACCGUGGGUCAGCCAUACCGCGGUGAAUACGUUCCCGGCUCUUGUACACACCGCCCGU